rnacentral:lncRNA from 1 species
AACCCACCUCCAUUCUGUUCAACCUGUCCUAUACCCCUCCCGAACUGAUUUUCAGGUUUUUUAUUCUUUCGUUUUAGGUGGUUAUGGCUCUGAUACCAAUUGAUAGAUCCAAAGUAAAAGAAAUUCUCUUCAGGUGAGAAUAAACCACAAGAUUUAUAUUCAAAAAUUGUCUAUUUCAUAGCUUGUUCAUUCCAGCUUUAAAUAUACUUUUAAGCAAUUACGAUAACGGGAUCAACUGCCUUGAUCGCGUUUGCCGUAACAGCUCUUUUUCCCACGUUCUAUUGCUGCAGAUACUUUGGGUUCAUUCUUGGCUUUCAAUGAAAGCGUCAUAGUGCAACGUGCACACAAGCACAUUCUUACCUUGAUGAUCUCUAACAUACUGCCACCACUAAAGC